ACGGUUGCACCAUGGACGACCAUCCCAGGAGACCAUGCCUUCUCGUCUUCCUGACGACCGUCCUCCUCGUCCUCGCACUCCUUGGCUCAUGCGGUCUCGCAGAUGGCAGCAAAGAUGUUGGUAUGCUACGCUCCUUCUCCAUGCACGGAGCUGGUGUUCGAUCGUGUGCAUCAACACACACACACGCACACCAAGCGUAUAAGACUAUAAGUUGAAUCUUUUU
rnacentral:lncRNA from 1 species